UACAGAGGUCUCAAGCGUUGUUCGGAUUCAUUGGGCGUAAAGGGUGUGUAGGUGGCGCCGUAAGUCGGGUGUGAAAUUUCGGAGCUUAACUCCGAAACUGCAUUCGAUACUGCGGUGCUUGAGGACUGGAGAGGAGACUGGAAUUCAUGGUGUAGCAGUGAAAUGCGCAGAUAUCAGGAGGAACACCGGUGGCGAAGGCGCUGCUCUGGGCCGGUACUGACGCUGAGGAGCGAAAGCGUGGGUAGCAAACAGG
rnacentral:rRNA from 1 species